rnacentral:lncRNA from 1 species
GUUUUUGUUUUCAGAUUCCUCACUACAUAUACCAUGUGGUACCAACCCCGUGGUCUUGUCGUACGUGUUCCACGCAUCUUCACAUGGCCUGGAGCUUCAGAGUUAUUAUGAGAGGAGCGACACCUUAGCAAACUACACGAUUUUUACUGGAUCGUUGCAAUUUCUGUUGUUUCCUGUCCGCGUCUGCACAAGUUAUUCAGAU